rnacentral:tRNA from 1 species
AGCCUCCUGUAACCGGCGUUUAUCUCCCUUCACACGGGAGGGGUCACAGGUUCAAUCCCUGUCGCGCCCACCA